rnacentral:misc_RNA from 1 species
GUUACUACGGCUAGUCUUAAACGCAUUAGCUGAAUCUUGGUAUGGGACUGGUUCUACUCAGCGUGAUAAUUAUCUGACCGCUGAGGACAUCUUUCGGGAUGGCCAGACUUGUCCUCGAGUCGCUUCUAAUCUGGUUAAUAUUAUUAUUACCACUUUUCAACUUUGACCUCGAAUCAGGCGGGACUACCCGCUGAACUUAA